GUGGGGAAUAUUGGACAAUGGGGGGAACCCUGAUCCAGCCAUGCCGCGUGUGUGAAGAAGGCCUUUUGGUUGUAAAGCACUUUAAGCGAGGAGGAGGCUACCGAGAUUAAUACUCUUGGAUAGUGGACGUCACUCGCAGAAUAAGCACCGGCUAACUCUGUGCCAGCAGCCGCGGUAAUACAGAGGGUGCAAGCGUUAAUCGGAUUUACUGGGCGUAAAGCGCGCGCAGGUGGCCAAUUAAGUCAAAUGUGAAAUCACCGAGCUUAACUUGGGAAUUGCAUUCGAUACUGGUUGGCUAGAGUAUGGGAGAGGAUGGUAGAAUUCCAGGUGUAGCGGUGAAAUGCGUAGAGAUCUGGAGGAAUACCGAUGGCGAAGGCAGCCAUCUGGCCUAAUACUGACACUGAGGUGCGAAAGCAUGGGGAGCAAACAGGAUUAGAAACCCGUGUAGUCC
rnacentral:rRNA from 1 species